rnacentral:rRNA from 1 species
AUUGAACGCUGGCGGCAGGCCUAACACAUGCAAGUCGAGCGAGCGGCGGACGGGUGAGUAAUGUCUGGGGAUCUGCCAGAUAGAGGGGGAUAACUACUGGAAACGGUGGCUAAUACCGCAUACUAUCGGAUGAACCCAUAUGGGAUUAGCUUGUUGGUGGGGUAACGGCUCACCGAGGCGACGAUCCCUAGCUGGUCUGAGAGGAUGAUCAGCCACACGGGGACGGAGACACUGCCCAGACUCCGACGGGAGGCAGCAGUGGGGAAUAUUGCACAAUGGGCGCAAGCCUGAUGCAGCCAUGCCGCGUGUAUGAAGAAGGCCUUCGGGUUGUAAAGUACUUUCAGCGGGGAGGCGUUACCCGCAGAAGAAGCACCGGCUAACUCCGUGCCAGCAGCCGCGGUAAUUC